rnacentral:rRNA from 1 species
ACGAACGCUGGCGGCAUGCCUCACACCUGCAAGUCGAACGAGACCUUCGGGUCUAGUGGCGCACGGGUGCGUAACGCGUGGGAACCUGCCCUUAGGUUCGGAAUAACUCCCCGAAAGGGGUGCUAAUACCGGAUAAUGUCUUCGGACCAAAGAUUUAUCGCCUUUGGAUGGGCCCGCGUUGGAUUAGCUCGUUGGUAGGGUAAAAGCCUACCAAGGCGACGAUCCAUAGCUGGGCUGAGAGGAUGAUCAGCCACACUGGGACUGAGACACGGCCCAGACUCCUACGGGAGGCAGCAGUGGGGAAUAUUGGACAAUGGGCGAAAGCCUGAUCCAGCAAUGCCGCGUGAGUGAUGAAGGCCUUAGGGUUGUAAAGCUCUUUUACCCGGGAUGAUAAUGACAGUACCGGGAGAAUAAGCUCCGGCUAACUCCGUG